UACGAAGGGAGCGUAGCGUUGUUCGGAAUCGACUGGCGUAAAGGCGCACGUAGGCGGACUCUUAAGUCGGUGGUGAAGUCCUGGAAGCUCAACUCCAGAACUGCCUUCGAUACUGAGAGUCUUGAGUCCGGGAGAGGUGGAGUGGAACUGCGAGUGUAGAGGUGAAAUUCGUAGAUAUUCGCAAGAACACCAGUGGCGAAGGCGGCUCACUGGCCGGUACUGACGCCUGAGGUGCGAAGCGUGGGAGCAAACAGGAUUGAGAUACCGUGGUAGU
rnacentral:rRNA from 1 species